GACGAACGCUGGCGGCGUGCCUAAUACAUGCAAGUCGAACGAACCGCGACUGAGUGCUUGCACUUGGUCAAGGUGAGUGGCGAACGGGUGAGUAACACGUGGGUAACCUGCCUCAUAGUGGGGGAUAACAGUCGGAAACGACUGCUAAUACCGCAUAGGACAUGGAAUCACAUGAUUCUUUGAGGAAAGGUGGCGCAAGCUAUCGCUAAGAGAUGGACCCGCGGUGCAUUAGCUAGUUGGUAGGGUAAGGGCCUACCAAGGCGAUGAUGCAUAGCCGACCUGAGAGGGUGAUCGGCCACAUUGGGACUGAGACACGGCCCAAACUCCUACGGGAGGCAGCAGUAGGGAAUCUUCCGCAAUGGACGAAAGUCUGACGGAGCAACGCCGCGUGAGUGAAGAAGGUCUUCGGAUCGUAAAGCUAUGUUGUUAGAGAAGAACAGCGCAUAGAGUAACUGUUAUGCGUGUGACGGUAUCUAACCAGAAAGCCACGGCUAACUACGU
rnacentral:rRNA from 1 species